rnacentral:snoRNA from 1 species
UGCUGGUCGUGAAGCACCCCCUCUCGGAAUCCUGGGCCCUGCCGGGGGUGAGCCAGUGCAAGCUGUCUGUCCAUCCAUCCCACCCUCCGACCCAGCA